AUACGGAGUGUGCAAGCGUUACUCGGAAUCACUGGGCGUAAAGCGCGCGCAGGCGGCUAUUUAAGUUGGAUGUGAAAGCCUACGGCUCAACCGUAGAACUGCAUCCAAAACUGUCAAGCAAGAGUCUGGGAGGGGAAGAUGGAAUUAGUUGUGUAGGGGUAAAAUCCGUAGAGAUAACUAGGAAUACCAAAAGCGAAGGCGAUCUUCUGGAACAGUACUGACGCUGAGGCGCGAAAGCGUGGGGAGCAAACAGGAUUAGAAACCCGGGUAGUCC
rnacentral:rRNA from 1 species